AAGUCGUAACAAGGUAACCGUAGGUGAACCUGCGGUUGGAUCAUUAUCAAUGUUCUUUACAGAGUUUGGUACUGGAGGGUGUUUUGCAUCUUUCAGGGCCUUUCUUUGCACCAUCUUGUGAACUGUAAUUGUUUAUUCGGCGGUUAUAUUCUGGCGAAACUGUUGUAAGCCGUUGGAAUUUUGUGGGCACCGUAAGGUUCCUACAUGGCCGUCGAAAGGGGAAAUUUCAUUUUCAUAAAAGUGAACCCUUAAAAAGGUACUCUUUUGGAAUUUGGGACUACCCGAAAUGUGAAACUAUUGUUUUUUAUAUUUUACUGUCUUUUGGAUCCUCAAUGAGGACGUUACUUAAUUGAAAUACAACUUUUAACAACGGAUCUCUUGGCUCUC
rnacentral:misc_RNA from 1 species